GUUGUUUUGUUGAACUACCUAUACCAGAGGAUGAGGACAAUGAUAUUCCAGAACAGUGUAAAUUGUAUGUUGAUAAUAAUGAUUUUGUAGUAUCAUGUGAUGAUGCGUACAAGUUGGGGCCCACCUUACACAGUCAGUUGUUAGAUAAUGAUAUGGUUAGGGUGUUGGUUACCAAGGUUUUAGAUGCAAAUGCUCAAGUACCUAUACCCACUGAUGAGGUGACAACAGUUGGUCAUGCUUCAAAUACUUUCAUUCAAUGGCCAAAAAGACUUUUGCGGCUUGUUUCUGAUAAGGAGGUUGACAUAUUUAUGAAAGUUGACGUUCCACUCAAAAAAUCUGAAUCUCAACUAGAUUGUAUUCAACAAUUGUUGUUAAAGUCGAUGAGUAUAUCAUUGUCUAUAGAGCUAAAAUUGGAACAUGAGACAAGUGAAGUGUUUGUACUUGGACAAAGCGAUAUAGUGGAGUUGUGUAUGGGUAAUCGAGAGUUGUGCAUCACUAUUAUACAAAUAUGGUUGACAUAUAUGCAUCGCCUUUGUAUUGACUUGGGCAAGAGUGACGUGUAUGGAUUCAUUGAUCCGUGUUUCAUUCGGAGUGAAUAUUAUUCUAUUGGGGCUCAAAAGUACAUACAAAAUAAGUUGCAGUAGGAUCAAAAAGAGUGUUAUCUAUUACCUUAUCUCAACAAUUGUCAUUGGCAAUUGCUCGUUAUUUGUCCUAAGAAGAAUACUAUAGUCUUCCUAUGUUCGUUGGGAUGGAAACCAAAUAAAAAUAUCACGCACAUCGUCGAUUUAGCUUUGGGUGAAUAUAAUAAGUCGCGAAGAUUAAGAAAGAACAAGCUCACAUGGAACAUUCCCAUUUGUCAAAGACAACCUAAAGGUUAUGAGUGUGGUUACUACAUUAUGAUACAUAUGUUGAACAUUGUAUCUAGUGGUCUUGUUGAUUCAUGGAUGCGGAUAUUUGGAGAAUCAAAACCAUUCGAAGAUGAAGAAAUGAUGAAUGUCCAA